rnacentral:rRNA from 1 species
CCUACGGGUGGCAUCAGUGGGGAAUAUUGCGCAAUGGGCGAAAGCCUGACGCAGCGACGCCGCGUGAGGGAUGAAGGUCUUCGGAUCGUAAACCUCUGUCAGCAGGGAAGAACGGUCACUGUGCUAAUCAGCAGUGAAUUGACGGUACCUGCAAAGGAAGCACCGGCUAACUCCGUGCCAGCAGCCGCGGUAAUACGGAGGGUGCGAGCGUUAAUCGGAAUUACUGGGCGUAAAGCGCUCGUAGGCGGUAUGUCAAGUCAAGGGUGAAAUCCCCGCGCUCAACGUGGGAACUGCCUUUGAAACUGGCAAACUGGAGUGUGUGAGAGGAUAGUGGAAUUCCAGGUGUAGGAGUGAAAUGCGUAGAUAUCUGGAGGAACAUCAGUGGCGAAGGCGACUAUCUGGCACAUAACUGACGCUGAGGAGCGAAAGCGUGGGUAGCAAACAGGAUUAGAAACCCCAGUAGUC